rnacentral:rRNA from 1 species
GAGUAAUGCGUGACCAACCUGCCCCCAUGCUCCAGAAUAGCUCUUGGAAACGGGUGGUAAUGCUGGAUGCUCCAACUUGACGCAUGUCUUGUUGGGAAAGUGUUUAGUGGCAUGGGAUGGGGUCGCGUCCUAUCAGCUUGUAGGCGGGGUAAUGGCCCACCUAGGCUUCGACGGGUAGCCGGCCUGAGAGGGCGGACGGCCACAUUGGGACUGAGAUACGGCCCAGACUCCUACGGGAGGCAGCAGAC